AUUGUUUGUGUUUUGUUGCAGUUGGUGACUUGAAUCACUUGAUCUCCGCAACCAUGAGUGGUGUUACAUGCUGUCUUCGUUUCCCUGGUCAACUCAACUCUGAUCUGAGGAAACUGGCCGUGAAUCUCAUCCCUUUCCCUCGUCUGCACUUCUUCAUGGUUGGAUUUGCGCCUCUCACCUCUCGUGGCUCUCAGCAGUACCGUGCAUUGACAGUUCCAGAGCUGACACAGCAAAUGUGGGAUGCCAAGAAUAUGAUGUGUGCCGCUGAUCCCAGGCACGGGCGUUACCUCACGGCAUCAGCCAUGUUCCGUGGCAAGAUGAGCACGAAGGAGGUGGAUGAGCAGAUGAUAAACGUGCAGAACAAAAACUCUUCGUACUUUGUCGAGUGGAUUCCCAACAAUGUCAAGUCGAGUGUGUGUGACAUUGCUCCUAGAGGGCUCUCCAUGGCGUCCACAUUCAUUGGAAACUCGACCUCGAUUCAGGAGAUGUUCAGGAGGGUGAGCGAGCAGUUCACGGCCAUGUUUAGGAGGAAGGCUUUCUUGCAUUGGUACACUGGUGAAGGCAUGGACG
rnacentral:lncRNA from 1 species